ACAGAGGGUGCGAGCGUUGUCCGGAAUCACUGGGCGUAAAGGGCGCGUAGGUGGUGGCUUAAGCGUGCGGUGAAAGCUCGGGGCUCAACCCCGAGUCGGCCGUGCGAACUGGGCUCACUGGAGCAUAGUAGAGGCAGGUGGAAUUCCGGGUGUAGCGGUGGAAUGCGUAGAGAUCCGGAAGAACACCGGUGGCGAAGGCGGCCUGCUGGGCUAUGGCUGACACUGAGGCGCGACAGCGUGGGGAGCAAACAGGAUUAGAUACCCUGGUAGUCCACGCCGUAAACGAUGGGCACUAGGUGCUUGGGGGAGCGACCCCCUGGGUGCCGGCGCUAACGCAUGAAGUGCCCCGCCUGGGGAGUACGGCCGCAAGGCUG
rnacentral:rRNA from 1 species